rnacentral:lncRNA from 1 species
AGAGAGCUUCUGGGUGGGUGAACACAUGGAGAUUUGGGCAGAGUGCUGCUCCCAGAGAGCAUGGAAGCUCCAUGCCCCUUCCCGCAUAACUUGCCCCAUGCCUCUCUUCCAUCUGGCUGUUCCUGAGCUAUAUCCUUUUAUAAUAAACCAGUGAGCUAGAAGAUCAGCCCAGAGCUAACAUCUGUGCCCAUCUUCUUCUAUUUUAUACGUGGGACACCCACACAACAUGGCUUGAUAAGCGGUGUGCAGGUCCGCGCCAGGGAUCCGAACCGGCGAACUCCAGACUGCUGAAGUGGAGUGUGAACUUAACCACUGAGCCACUGGGCCAGCCUCAAAUUUAUUUUUAACUAUGUGUUGAACAAGAGGAAGAAGAGCAAGCCUGGCCUUUCUGGAUAAGGGAUGUGUAGCAGUUGGAUCCAAUCACUACCCACAGCCUCUUCACCAGGCGUAGAUUCCAUGCCAGGAAAUCACAUUCUGAGAGGUGACAUCA